AUUGAACGCUGGCGGCAGGCCUAACACAUGCAAGUCGAACGAGUGGCGGACGGGUGAGUAAUGUCUGGGAAACUGCCCGAUGGAGGGGGAUAACUAAUGGACACGGUAGCUAAUACCGCAUAACAUCGGAUGUGACCAGAUGGGAUUAGCUAGUAGGUGUGGUAAAUGCUCACCGAGGCGACGAUCCCUAGCUGGGCUGAGAGGAUGACCAGCCACACUGGAACUUAGACACGGUCCAGACUCCUACGGGAGUCAGAAGUGGGGAAUAUUGCACAAUGGGCGAAAGCCUGAUGCAGCCAUGCCGCGUGUAUGAAGAAGGCCUUCGGGUUGUAAAGUACUUUCAGCGGGGAGGCGUUACCCGCAGAAGAAGCACCGGCUAACUCCGUGCCAGCAGCCGCGGUAAUUC
rnacentral:rRNA from 1 species